rnacentral:tRNA from 1 species
CAGGAAGUAGUUUAAUUAGAACGUCAGCUUUGGGUGCUGAUAGUGAGGAGAAGUAUCCUCUUCUUGA